AGUGAACGCUGGCGGUAGGCCUAACACAUGCAAGUCGAACGGCAGCACAGGAGAGCUUGCUCUCUGGGUGGCGAGUGGCGGACGGGUGAGGAAUACAUCGGAAUCUACUCUGUCGUGGGGGAUAACGUAGGGAAACUUACGCUAAUACCGCAUACGACCUACGGGUGAAAGCAGGGGACCUUCGGGCCUUGCGCGAUUGAAUGAGCCGAUGUCGGAUUAGCUAGUUGGCGGGGUAAAGGCCCACCAAGGCGACGAUCCGUAGCUGGUCUGAGAGGAGGAUCAGCCACACUGGAACUGAGACACGGUCCGGACUCCUACGGGAGGCAGCAGUGGGGAAUAUUGGACAAUGGGCGCAAGCCUGAUCCAGCCAUACCGCGUGGGUGAAGAAGGCCUUCGGGUUGUAAAGCCCUUUUGUUGGAAAGAAAUCCAGCUGGCUAAUACCCGGUUGGGAUGACGGUACCCAAAGAAUAAGCACCGGCUAACUUCGUGCCAGCAGCCGCCGUAA
rnacentral:rRNA from 1 species